rnacentral:rRNA from 1 species
GAUGAACGCUAGCGACAGGCCUAACACAUGCAGGUCGAGGGGCAGCAUAAAGGUAGCAAUACUUUGGUGGCGACCGGCGCACGGGUGAGUAACACGUAUGCAACCUACCUGUAAGAGGGGAAUAACCCGGAGAAAUUCGGACUAAUACCGCAUAAUACCACGAAGAUGCAUGGCUUUGUGUUUAAUCAUUUAUGGCUUACAGAUGGGCAUGCGUAUGAUUAGAUAGUUGGUAGGGUAACGGCCUACCAAGUCAACGAUCAUUAGGGGCUCUGUGAUGACGGUCCCCCACACUGGUACUGAGACACGGACCAGACUCCUACGGGAGGCAGCAAUGAGGAAUAUUGGUAAAUGGGCGAGAGCCUGAACCAGCCAAGUCGCGUGAAGGAAGAAGGUUCUAUGGAUUGUAAACUUCUUUUGUAAGGGAAUAAAAAGAGUUACGUGUAACUUAUUGUAUGUACUUUACGAAUAAGGAUCGGCUAACUCCGUGCCAGCCGCCGCCGUAACAC